AGAGAGCGAGAGAGAGAAAGAGAGAGAGAGGAAGAGAGAUAGAGAGAGAGAGAGAGGAGAAUCCGUUCUCAAUAGGAAAUGAUUAAAUACGUUUGAGGGAAUGAUGGGGGAUUUUAUGAUAUGUAUAAAAUAGGCGAAAAAGCAGUGCACUGUCGUCGAAUGAAAAUCGAUUUAGAAAGAUAAUAAAAGAAGAGAAAAAAAGAAU